UCCGAUAUGGUGUAGUGGCUAACAUUAUCGCCUCUCAAUUCCAGCACUUGGUGCAUGAUAGCCCGAGGUUCAAUUGCCUGUGUCAGAA